ACACAGAAAUUGUUGUCAAGGAGAAUAUUGCUGGGUUUUCACGUCACGGUGCACAAUAACAGAAGCAUGAAGAUAUGCCAGUGCACAUGCAGUCUCCACAGCAAUGUUCAUUCGAGUAGACCAAGGCAGUGCACAAGCUUUGCUCUUUCACCAUGAGAUGAUCAGCAGUGUACCAUUGGGAAUGUACUGAUAUACUANNNNNNNNNNNNNNNNNNNNNNNNNNNNNNNNNNNNNNNNNNNNNNNNNNNNNNNNNNNNNNNNNNNNNNNNNNNNNNNNNNNNNNNNNNNNNNNNNNNNGAACAGUUACCAGCAUCACAAGAUUUGAGACGACUCCGAUCACGGCAAGAACAAUUGAAUUCAUAUCCCCAACGCCCACCACUGCUCUCACAAGUGCUACAAUUAUGAGCAGUCCAAUUCAUAAGGAACCCCAUCUUCAAAACCUCAAUAUAAUUUGCCGUAUGCAGUCUACCAAUAUCUUCAUAAGUGUGGAUAGGAGCAUUAGCAAAAUCUUGGCAUGAAUUCAAUGAGUAAAUGCUGUGCAUCUCUCUUUCUUCCAAGUGAAAAUCGGCAAAAGAAUAAUGUGUAGAAUUUGUGGCACAACUUAAAUUAUGGAGAGGGUAGUUAUCUACGGGCUUUGAGGUACAAUUGUAGAAGAAGGAGAGAUUAGUAUAGCCAGGACUAAUAGUAAAGGUUCUAUCAAGCCUAAUGUUAUGCAAAGGAGUUGGACAGGUUUCCUCAUACACAGCAGCUUUAGCCACGCGCAUAGAAUUAGUGGCAUAAGAGAUACUUUUAAUGAUAUAAACAUCAUUGGAAAUUGCGAGUACUGGCCCUUUGUCACUGCAGGUGAGCAUAAAAUUUGGAUAGCCACAAAAGGAUUCUUGUUCUUGAGAUAGCCAAAAAGGGUAGCUUAUGUUAGGGCCAGCACCACAGUUUUUUGGUUCACAAGAUUUCAACUUUGGAUCCUGUGAUACGGUUUGGGUGGCCAAGUAUGUGAAAAGAAAGACACAGUUGUAGAUAGAAAGAAGCUUUCUGAAUGCGAAGGAGUUAUUGGGAUCCAUUUGGAGUGCUCAAAAACAGAGGAAGAAAGGGGAGACAUAAGGGUUUGAAACAAAGUUCCUAUGUAGUUGGUAAGACUUGGCUUUAAGAGUCUUUGAAUUGGCUAACGUUGUUGCUUUCGUUUAUUCGUGAUUGAAAAAGGAAGGAAGGACAGAAACAAACCAUUUUGUGGAAGCAAAAGCAAAAGCAAGUUGCUUGCUAUUUCAUCAACCUAGAAAAGUCCACAAAAUCUUGUGUGGUUGCUAUGAGCUAUGAGUCUAAAUGACGACUGGUCCAGUCUUGGGUGGUGCCUAAUCAUGGCAUGGGGUAAAUAAUAAUAUUACCAGACAUCAGAAUUCUAGUGUAGUCGUUAAACGACUUGCGACGCGGAUUGGCCGACUCUUCAAUAUCAAUUCUGCUUUCAAUGUCAGAGGAUAGGAUAUUUUGAUGGAAAAGACAAUGACUUUUCUUUUUAUUUUAUAGAAUUCGUCAAUAGUUUUCCCAGGUUUCAGAGGAUAUACAAGGAGUUUUGAUACGUACAAAUGACAAAAAUUUAAUAGUAUUAGUAAUUUUUAAAAUAUUUUUUAUUUAAAAACAUAUUAAAAUAUUUUUUUAAAAAAAAAAAUUUAUUUUUAAAAUUAACACAUCAAAACAAUCUAAAAACACUAAAAAAUUAAUUUUAAAAAAUCAAAUUUUAACAAAAAAAAAAAACCAGGUUAAAACACAAUUCAAAUAAGAGUGCUCUGUAGAAUUAUCAAUAAGAUGAUAAAAAUCUAUUUUGAGAAUGCAGUGAAUCUCGUGAUUAACAUUGCGAUACAACUGUCUUUUUUUAAUUUCUUAAAAAAUUUUGCUUUUAGUUUCAAAUUAAAAUUUUAUUUUGUAUUUUUUAAUUGUUUUGAUAUGUCAAUAUCAAAAUUAAAUUUAAAAAAAAUAUAUUUUUAAAUAUUUUUAAAUAAAAAAUAUCUUAAAAAAUAAUUAAAAAUAAUAAACAUCAAGCAAUUAAUAUUGAAAUUGAAGGUUUGAGUGGUUGACUUUUAAGGCAGGAGUGGUUAGUUGAAGCGGAAGUGGACAGCUCUUUUGCAACUCCCUUUGAGAAAUGAUCCGCUAGAUACCUAAGAAUUGAGCUGUGGUGUUGCCUUAGGAGAGGAUGGACUGAGCCCAUGAGUUUUGGUUAGGCUCAAGGAAGUUUUGAGUCUGGCCUUUGUUAAGGAAACCAAGCUGAAGUUUAUUUUAAGAAAACACUACUGUCAAGAAGAAAAUAGAAACCAUUGUUAACUAGCCACAAAUAUAUAUAUAUAUAUAUAUAUAUAUAUAUAUAUAUAUAUAUAGACUCCAGGACAAAACUCAGAAUUAAUUGAUUUCUACUGUGUUCUAAUUAAUCAGAGAAUUUGGUUUAGUUAGGGUUUUACCUUGGGGAAUUCCCUAAGGAAGUGUUUCUAAUGCUACACCAUGAUAGACUAGACAUUAUAAUAAUUUAAGGAAUUACUUCGAUAAAUAUAAAAAUAAAAAUUAUUAUUAUUAUUAUUAUAGUUUUAAAAUCUAAUUCGGAGAUAGACUUGUGACCAAGUCCAGGUCACAAAUCAGGGUGACUAUUGACUCGUAUUAAUGUAAAGAUAAAAUAAUUAUUAUUAGAGUUCUAAAACUCAACUUGGGAGCAGGUCCGGGCUGAAUAUGUUUGGGUCACAGGUCGGGAUGAUUAUUUACUCGAGUCAACAUAAGGAUACAAAUUAUUAUUACCAUAAUCUUUAAACCGAUUCGGGAGUCAACUCGGGGCCAAGCUCGAGUCACGGGCUAGUUUGAUCAUUGACUCGAAUCAACAUAAAAAUAAAAUGAUUAUUAUUAUAGUUUUAAAAUCCUAAUUGAGGGUCGACCCGAGGCUAGGCUUGGGUCAUGAGUCAGGUUGACCAUUAACCCUAAUCAAUGUAAGGAUAAAAAUGAUUAUUAUCAUAAUUUUAAAACUCAACUAAGAGGUUGACCCGGGGCUAGACUUGGGUCAUGGGUCAAGUUGACAUUGAUCUGAAUCAAUGUAAAGAUAAAAAUAAUUAUUAUCAUAAUUUUAAAACUCAACUAAGGGGUCUACCUGGGACAAGGUUCAAGCUAUGGUUUAGGAUGGUCAACCUAGGUUGACCUAAAGCAACAUAAAAAUAAUAAUUGUUAUUAUCGUAAUGAGGUCGACUUGGGUAAGGCCUAAGUCACGGCUUGGGAGGGUCAACAUGGGUUAACCUAAAUUUUUUUAAAAAAAUCAACGCAACCUCAUUUCGACUAUAUAUAAAAAAAAUCAAUGGAUUUUUUACCUGUGUUUUAUCCCGAGUAGACUAGAUCAUAGGUUGACCCGAGUUUUUGAUCGGAUCAAUCAUUCUUCUAUUUUUUAAAAAACUUGGAACAGUCUAAACCUUAAGUUGGUCAAGUCCAGUCUAAUGUUUAGCAAACAUAAAAUAAAACAAAUUAUCUAAUCCAAUUCAAAUCACACCAAAUACAAAACAAAAUAAUUAUUUAUCCAAUCCGGUUGAAUCAAUAUUUUCAGGCAUACCAAAAUCUACCAAAUGUUCCAUAUACAUCUGGCUGUUUGCUCUUGUGAUUGUGUCCUAUUACUACGACGUCCUUAUAAAAUUUUGAUUAAGAACAGAGCCCCCAAGUACUUUUAUUCCUAAUUAUCAACCCUAAUUUCCCCCCACUAACUUCAUUACCCUGGCAAAUAACAUGAAACGCAAUAGGUAGAAUAGGUACUAAUAAUUAACAAGGGGAAAAAAGGAGAGAGAGUGAGGCAUGCCGAGCUUACCUUGACACACAAAAGCAUAAGGUUGGUCACGGCAAAGGCACAUGAACUCUUUAUCCGGAUGGGUCAUGUUAGUUCCACAUAUUCCUCUUGAAGCCAUACAUCCCUCGCAAAUUGAAGGACCUUGAUCAUACUCGUACGACACAUUGAACCUUUCUCCUAAAACCUCCUCCAAUUCUGGUCUAUCACCCACAAGUAGCUCACCAAAAGACUUAGCAAUGGGAAUUCUAAUCCUCAUGCUACAUUGCAUUACGUCUAGCCCACUGUUUGCCAAGAUAUCAUCAUUUCCAUAGAAUGAGCUCCCAGUAUAUCCAUUACAAAUCGAAAUUCUGUUAACUGUCGAGCUAGGUAUAGAGCAAUUGUAGAGUAAGUUGAGGUUUUGAAGGCUCAGGUCAUAACCGAAAAUAUGGAUGUCGCUGCCACUGCUUGAAUUGGUUUUUAUUUGAGUAGGACAAAUGUACUCCUGGAAAUUCACUAGCUGAAGAGCCAUCAACCUGGAAGAUUGCUUUAGAUUCAAUAAGCGUAAUUCAAGCGUGUCGCUGGCUAUUAUAGGGAGCUGACCUUCUUCACACUUGAGCUUGAACCCCUUGUGUCCACAAACUUCAGGUCGAUCACCUCCCCAAAAAGGGUAAGAAAGUUCCGGCAAGAGUCCACAACUAAAGGGCUUCUCGCAAUCUGUGUAAUCCUUAUCAUCAUCUCCAUAGGAGGUUGAUACAGGGAUUAUUAGGACAGAGAAGACGGUUGUGAUAAUGGGGUGGUGUUGAUAGAGAGAGAGACGGGCAACCAUUUUUUUUUUAAAAAAAAAAAAAAAACGUGAAGAGACUCUCUUUAACGAGGAGAAGGGGAUUUAACUGGUGGCUCAACCCAUAGAUUGUUCCAUCAUUUUGUAGGAAAUGAAAGAGAGAGGAAGGUCGAUGCUUUGUGCCAUGUAUUGUAAACAAAGGGACCCUUACUUGUUUUGACACAGACAAAAUAUAUAUAUAUAUAUAUAUAUAUAUAUAUAUAUAUAUUAAGAUCAAAGUUGACCAUUGACCUCCAAGUUGGCAGUCGAAACAUUUUUGGACUGUGCUUGGUGCACAAGAGAGCUACAGGAGGGCUUCAAAAGAGAGAUACCUGGGAGGGUUAGGCAUCACUGGUGAUUGUUUGGUUCUGUGAUUACUUUUAUUUUUAAUGCAAGCACAUAAAGAAAUUAUUUGGUUAAUUACGUAAUUUCUUUUUUUAUAGUGAACUUUUACAUAUAAUUGUGUUUGAAAUCUUAGGAGGUAAGGCAGCUCAGAAACCUUAUGCCCUUCAAUGUUGAAAAGGGCAGAAAAAUAAAGAGUAUAUCUCUGAAAUUGUAAUAUUUUUCCACGACUUUCCACUGUAUCAGAUAACACCGUAAUAUGGUCCAGUUAGGGCUGCGGAAUUCAAGAGGCUGCACGAUGAGGUGCAAUAUCAUAUGCUUUUCUCAUCAUCAAGUUGAGUUAUAGAAGACGACUCAGGCAAGGUCAAAAAAGGAUACUUUUUGAGGGGAAAAUGCAUAUUUAGAAUGAAAAAAAAAUCCUUAAAAUAGAGCUACAACUUAAAAAAAAAAUUCUAAAAAUUUGGGUGCCAUUACCUUCUCAAAAUUAUAUCUAAUUUCGUUCAUUUCCAUAACUACUUGAUCUAUAAAAAGUAUUGUAUUUAUUAUAUGAAUUCGCCGGAGAUUACUUGAUUAAAUGGAUUCUGUGCUAAAAAUGAAUGAAUUGAACACAAUAGGACUAGAUUGAUAUUAAUUAAUUGACAUUGAAUUAACUCGAGACUGAAUUGAAUCAAAUUAGUUUAAUUGGACUAACAUGAAUGAAAUCAAUGAAUUAAUUUGGACUAAAUUGAAUUAAAUGGACUGAAAUAAACAUUCAAACAAGCUUUUCUUAUUCUCAUUGAAGUGCUUGGAUUUUGAAUUUUUACAAUCUCAUUCAAUUUACCCUUUUCAAUUGCAUGAAGUUUUACAAUCUCAUUCAAUUUAUCCUUUUCAAUUGUAUCUAUAAUGAAAUCAAUAUAGAUCUUAAAAUUUAAUUAUUUGUUGCAAAUUUAUCCUUAUCCUUAAAAUCAUGUAAUUUUAACCAAUCUAAUUUUCAAUUUUGAUUUUUUUUAAUUAAACCCUUCAAUGAUUUCUAAUCUAGCUAUUUGUUUCAUAAUUAUUAUUAAACUUCAAAUUUCUUUUACUCAAUGAGAAAUUAAAUCAAGUUAAUCUAUUUUCAAUUUUCUUUUUAAUUCAAGCCUCAAUUAUGACCUCUAAAUUCUCAAUCUCUAUCUUCUCCCGUGAUGCUCAAUUAUUUUUAGAUUUAUUUUAUUUUUGUAUUUUGUAUUAAUUUUUUUAUAUAAAUUUUAAGAUUUUUUAACACAAAAAAUAAAUAAAAAACUAAAAAUGCUGAAAAUAUAUUUUUUUGGAUUUUUUUUUAAAUAGAGGGUUAAAAUCUAGUUAUUACAAGACUCGUAGCCACCACACAUGACUAUUAUAGACUUUCCCAGGUCGAUGAAAUAGCAAGCAACUUGCUUCUGCUUGGACAAAUUGGAUUGUUUNNNNNNNNNNNNNNNNNNNNNNNNNNNNNNNNNNNNNNNNNNNNNNNNNNNNNNNNNNNNNNNNNNNNNNNNNNNNNNNNNNNNNNNNNNNNNNNNNNNNUCCGUGAUGGGCCUCGUCUCAAAUCCUUGCGAUGCUGGUAACUCUUCAUCAAAUAUUCUUUAUGAUUAAUGGUGUUGGUUUCUUUCAGCGUCAUGCGUUCUUUAUUUGAUUACUCAUUUUCCUCUGUUGCUGCAAUAUGUGGGAAACACUGCAACGCUUUUAAAUCAUGUUGUUUUCGAAAUAAGUAUCCGGAGUAUAUAUAUUUAUGGUUUCAUUUUUCCUCAUCAUUUUCUCUGUUUAUCACUUCUAUAAUAUCAUAAGAUUUCAGUGUUAAAUUAAUUGAGAUCAAAACAAGAAAGGAGGCUAGAAUUCUGAAUAAUCUGUAUAUUAUGAAUGCUUAGUCUUAACCUAAAUACAAAUAAAGUAUAUAUAGGUCAAACUGAAAGUACUAUUCUACCCUUAAUAAAUAAGACUACAUAAAUAUUAUUUAACAUCUCCCCUCAAACUCACGAUGCGACAGCUACAAGCAUCGAGAGUUUGCCAACCAGAAAACGAAAACGAGAGAUGGAAUGCGCCUUGGUAAAGAAAUCUGCAAUCUGCAAGAAAGAAGGAACAAAAGGCAAAGCAAUGGUGCCAUGUUUGAGAUGAUGACAAGUAAGAUGACAAUCGAUCUCAAUGUGCUUAGUGCGCUCAUGAAAAACCGAGUUAUGAGCAAUCUGAAUAGAACUCUGAUUGUCACAAUACAUAGGAGUAGGAUGAGAAAAGGAAAUUCUCAUAUCAGCAAGUAACCAACGUAAUUAAACAAUCUCUUUGGUAGUAGAUUCCAUGGCACGAUAUUCUACUUCGGUGGAUGAUUGAGAAACAAUAGAUUGUUUCUUGCUCUUCCAAGAAAUAAGAGAAUCACCUAAAAAGAUACAGAACCCGGUAACAGACUUGCGAUCUGUAGGAUCACUACCAUGAUCAGCAUCAGAGUAUGCACGCAACUUCAAGGAAGAGGUGGAUGAAAGUAAAAGACUUUGAAAAAUUGUACCCCGAAGAUAUCGUAAAAUACGAAGAACAGCUGCCCAGUGAACAGUAGUAGGAGAAGCAACAAACUGACUAACAACAUGAACAACAUAUGUAAUAUCUGGAUGAGUAAUGGUGAGACAUACCAAACUCCCAACAAUAGUGCGGUAUAAAGUAGGAUCUAUCAAAGGUAAACCAUCAGAAGAAGAGUACCUUGUGUUAACCUCAAUAGGAGUAUCUACAGUCUUGUUAUCAGUAAGUCUAGCCCGCUCAAGAAUAUCUGCAACAUAUUUUGACUGAGAAAGAAGGUAACCUCUAGGUGAGUAUGCUACCUCAAUACCCAGGAAAUAUCGAAGAUAACCCAAAUCGUUUAUUUCAACUCUGUCUUCAAAACUGAAAUACCAUCAAUAUCAUCACCAGUAAUAAUCAUGUCAUCAACAUAUAAAGACAGAAUGAUACGUCCUGCAUCAGUGCACUUAAUAAAAAGAGCAGAAUCAUGACUGCUAGAAACAAAGCCAAGAGACGAGAUCACAAUAGAGAAUUUCUCAAACCAAGCACGAGGUGCUUGUUUGAGACCAUAUAAUGCUUUCUUAAGCUUAUAAACAUAUCCAGAGUCAUGUGAAAUACCAGGAGGGGGUGCCAUAUAAACUUCUUCUUGAAGAUCUCCAUUCAAGAAUGUAUUUUUAACAUCAAGCUGAGAAAUAUGUCACUGACGAAUCGAAGCUACGACAAUAAAAGUACGAAUAGUAGUCAUUUUUGCAACCGGGACAAAUGUCUCCUCAUAGUCCAUACCAUACUGUUGAGAGUAUCCUUUUGCAACCAGCCUAGCUUUGUAUCGCUCAAUAGACCCAUCAGAAUUAGUCUUGAUCUUAUACACCCAACGACAACCAACAACACUCUUACCAGGAGGUAGAGGAACCAGAUCCCAAGUAUCUGUCUUAUGCAAAGCAGAAAGUUCCUCAUCCAUAGCUUGCUGCCAAAGCGGAUCAAGAAUUGCCUUUUUAUAGGAAGAGGGCUCAAAGAGACAAUGAAUAGAAGCUAAAAAGGAAGUAAAUGAUGAAGAAUAACAAGAAUAAGCAAAAUCUAGUAGUUUUGUGGACUUACGAAUGCGGAUGGACUGACGUGGAGGUGGUUCCACAAUCUCAGAUGAAGCUUGAGGGGCUGUAGAUGAGAAUGGAGCUUCAGGUGUGCCAGAGAGUAAAGUACCAGUACCUGCAGAGUUAUGAGUACAAAUUGAUCGAACAUAGGGAGAGGUAUCAUUACCAGAAUCCUCAAAAAAAGGAUCUAUAUGAAUAAGAUCAGAUUUUAUCAGGCAAUGAGUAGUGGAUAGAAUAGAAAAGAAAGGUAUAUGUUCGAGGAAGACAACAUGACGAGACACAUAAAGUUUCUGAGUUAUUGGAUCAAAACAACGAUACCCCUUUUUACCUUCACCAUAACCCAGAAAGACACAAAUAGCGGAUCGAGAGGAUAGCUUACUGUGUUCUACAUGAGGACGAAGAACGAAACAAGUACAACCAAAGACUCUAAAUGAGGAAUAAUCAGGGACAUACCCAUAUAACUUUUCAAAAGGAGAUAGACCCAAACUAUGAGAAGAUGGAAUUGUAUUAAUCAAACUUACAGCAGUAAGAACAGCUUCUCCCCAAAACUCACUAGGAACAAAAGCAGACAACAAGAGAGAACGAGCAGUUUCGACAAUGUGCCUAUGUUUUCUUUCAGCUACACCAUUUUGUUCAGGAGUAUCUGUACAUGAAGUUUGGUGGAUGGUUCCAUCUAAGGCAAACAUUUGACAAAAUUUAUUAGAGGUGUAUUCCUUACCCAAAUCACACCUAAAGCAUUUGAUCACAGCAGAAUGUUGAGUUUUGAUAAGAGCUCGAAAAGCUGCAUAUAUCUCAAAGAAUUCAUAACGAUGUUUCAUUAAAUAAACCCAACAAUAACGAGUAUGAUCAUCAAUAAAAGAAACAUAAUAUCGAGACCCUCCUUUUGUGGAAACAGGAGAAGGUCCCCAUACAUCAGAAUGAAUCAAAUCAAAUGGUGAAGAUGAAACAGAAAUACUUCGAUUAAAAGGUAAAGCAGAAAAUUUUGCCAGUUUACAUCCACUACAAUCAGAAAUGUCACAAGUUUUCAAAUUUUCUAAAGCUCCUGUGAAUGCCAAAAAUCUCAAACGAGAAGACGAAACAUGACCUAGACGGGAAUGCCAUAAAUAAAAACUAGAAGAUGAAAGACUCAAACGAAAGGAAGACAAAUCAGCAGUAGUAGUAGCAGCAGCGGCAGCAGCAGCAACUGACACUUUUAACUCAUCCAAAAUAUAUAGUCCAUUCUCCCUACGGCCUGUCCCAAUCAGCUUCUGAGACUGCAGAUCCUGUACACAACAAAAAGAACCAGAAAACAUGACUAAAUAAUCACCAGAAUCACAUAUUUGACCAACAGACGCAAGAUUCAAUUUGAGUUUUGGAAUAAGAUAAACAUUAGGGAGAGACAAGUGAGGUGUGACAACAGAACCAACACCUGUUAAGGGCAUAUGAGUGUUAUCAACAGUCAUAACAGGAAUGGAGGACAAAGGGGACACUGAGGUAAAUGAUGAGGAAUCUGGAGACAUAUGAUGGGAAGCACCAGAAUCUAAGACCCAUUCAGAGUGUGACAUACUUGAGGAACUAUGAGGCAACUGACCUAUGGAAGAGGCAGACAUUGCUUGUGGUUGCAAGGAGAGAAACUUCUGAAAUUGCUCAGCCAAAGUAUUAGGAUCGGUAAUAGAGCCUGGGGAAGCUACUGCUGCAGUAUUGUGGUGUGGUGGUUUAUAACCCUGAGGUGAUCGAUGAGCAUUAGAUUGUGACUAACUGCCAGACUUCCAAGCUUGAUUCUGCUGUCUCAACUUAGGACACUGAGCCUUCCAAUUACCUUUCUGCUUACAGAAACUGCACUCAUCGAAGUCAACCCUUGUGUAAGGCUUGUUCUAAUGAUUAGAGAAUGGCUUAGAAGGUACUGCUAGUACAGAAGGAUUUGAAGCAGAAAGAAUUCCCUUUUCAGAAUAAGACUGAAGAUGUAUUUCUUCAGCCAAUAACUCACUAACAACAGAGUCAACAGAAGGCAGUGGAGAACGAUGCAGAAUUGAACCUCUAAGUCCUUCGAAAUCACUGCGAAGUGCUGUUAAAAAUUGUACCAAUCGUUGCUGCUCUUUACGUUCAAUAUAAGCACCACAUGCUUUUAAUUCUGCAGAUUCUGUAAGAGCCAAUUGAUCCCAAAGAUCUGUCAUGGCAGAAUAGAACUCCUGAAUACUCAUAUUCUUCUGGUGAAGAGCUCGUAUGUCAUUCUCUAACUGAUACUGUUUUGCAAAAUUUGAUUGCGUGAAUAACCGUUGCAGGUGAUCCCAAACCUCCUUUGUUGUCUCAUACUUUGCCAACUGUGUACCUAUAGAAUGCUCAACAGAAUUGUUGAUCCAAGUAAUGAUCUUUGCAUUGUUUGCUUCCCAUGCAUCUAUCGAAGCAGUAUCUCCUUCUUCAGUAUUCUUAGGUACCACAUAAGUUCCACUAACAUAUCCCCACAUCUUCUUACCCUUAAGAAAAUUUCUCAUUACAUAGCUCCAAUAUGAAUAGUUCUUCCCAUCCAACCUAACACUCACAGACUGAAGCGAAUCAUCUCUUUCAGUAGCCAUAAUCAACAAUCACAGAGAACCAGAAUGCAAAAGCAGCGGAAAACAAAAUACCAAAUUGCAAAAACUGAACAGAGAUUGCAGAAACUAAACAAAUAUCUUCUCAAAGUUAUACGAUUACUCCAAAACACAAAACAAAUUUGCAGAAACUGAACGAAAAUACCAAAUUGCAAAAGCUGAAGGGAAGACGAAAUACCAAAAUAAUUGCAGAAACUGACGAAAUACCAAAUUUUGCAAAAGCGGAAGACAAAAUCUCACUCCAAAAAUUUUUUGAACUUGUGUUUGGGAUUAAGCCUCAUUUCAUAAAACCAGCUCUGAUACCAUGUUAAAUUAAUUGAGAUCAAAGAAAGAAAGGAAGCUAGAAUUCUGAAUAAUCUGUAUAUUAUAAAUGCUUAGUCUUAACCUAAAUACAAAUAAAGUAUAUAUAGGUCAAACUGAAAGUACUAUUCUACCCUUAAUAAAUAAAACUACAUAAAUAUUAUUUAACAUUCAGGAUAUGAAAGAAUACGUUUUGUUCAGAUUUUCUUCUACAUGUAAAGCUGCUCCCAUCUCACACUAAUGCAUUACUCCACUUGAAUUGUUCCGCAGGCUCAAGUCUUAAUGUCGGACGGGAGAUUAUUAUUAUUAUUGGUAAGAUAGUCCCCUGACCUCUUCCUGCUUUGAUCCUUACUGAAUGCUGUGUGCCUUUUCCUCUUCAUUAUCUUUCUAACUGAGCUGGAAUUCAGAAUGUUCAUCAGUCCCUCGCCUUCUCUGUAUAGCUAUUUCAGUAUAAUCAUGAUGAUGUGUGUGAUUCAAACUCUGGUGCAAAUAAUUGAAUUCGUGUUUAUACUGAAACCAUCUGGCUGGUGAUUUUUCUACGCCAACAAAUAGAAGUCACUGUUGUUAUGAUUGGUUGAACUUUGCCCGGAUCCUAAACACAAUUUGACGUGGUUCGGCAACUCACCUUUGUCAACCGGGCAGCCAAUAUCAUUAUAUAGAGAAAAAUUACAAAUAUACAACAAUGGAGGAGGAGGAACUCCCUGUACUCUAUCCCCACUCGUGUAUCACAUCUCUCUUACUCUCUGCUGCUGCUGCAGCUGCUGCCCAUGGCAGCUUCUUUCUCCCUCUUUUGUUGCUACUGCUAGUAUUGGUUCUUGUAUUGGCUCUAUUUAUAGUGGAAAUGGGCGGGACGAACAUCCCCAUUUCUGUCCCCAAUCCUAGCAUCAAUGGCAGACAAUUAGCCAUGAUUUCUGCCCAUUUCAAAUCCUCCAUUUCAGCCUCUCUUCAAGCCUUGUUUACAUCUCAUCAAAGCUAGGACUGUGGGAGUUCGUCUCCACACUCAACAACUGUAGAUCUUUAAUUUUAAAUUAAGGGAUCAUAUUCAUCUUUCAACAGAGAGAGUUGCUCAUUUAAUUUUAAUUUUUUUUCCCUUGCAAUUUAGCUCUGCUUUGUUCAGACUGGUUUGGCUGCACAAAAUAUUUUAGUAGAGAACACUUUGGCACUAUUUAUGCUUGGUCUGUCUCCUCCUCAGAAAAUUCAUUACUUGUCUGAAUUUAUUUUUUGAAAGCUUUCCUUGUUCCUCCUGAAUCAAGAGAACAUUUUUCUGUUUCUGCUGCUGUUUUUGUAUCAUGACAAUGUCAGUCCCCAAGUAACGCAUCAGCCUCCUCAACUGGCAGGUGUUGUCUCUGGAUCAGCAGGAAUUUUAUUCAUCUGCGUGAUUCUUUAUUCCAGAAGGAAGGCCUCAUCAACUACCACUCCUAUUUUUCUAAAGAAGAAACAUAAUCAAGAUCUUGAGGUUUUCAUAAGAAACCACGGACCACUAGCACUGAAAAGAUACAAUCUGUCGGAUGUUAAGAAAAUGACCAAUUUUUUCAAAGAUAAACUUGGUCAAGGAGGCUAUGGAAUUGUUUACAAAGGAAAGCUACAGGAUGGCCAUCUGGUGGCAGUGAAGGUCACGCAAGCUUCAAAAGGGGACGGGGAAGAAUUCAUAAAUGAGGUUGCAAGCAUCAGUAGAACUUCCCAUGUCAAUAUUGUCACUCUACUGGGAUUUUGUUUGGAGGGUGACAAAAGAGUUCUCAUUUAUGACUUCAUGGUCAAUGGAUCGCUUGAAAAGUUCAUAAAUCAUAAAAAUGCUUCGCAAGCCAAUCAACAGCUGGGAUGGAAUAAAUUGUACCAGAUUUUAGUUGGCGUUGCUCGAGGGCUUGAGUAUUUGCAUCGAGGGUGCAAUACAAGGAUUGUGCAUUUUGACAUUAAGCCUCAUAACAUUCUUCUUGAUGCAGAUUUUUCCCCUAAGAUAUCCGACUUUGGACUUGCGAAGCCUUGCACUAGGAAGGAGAGCAAUGUAUCGCUAUUGGAGGCAAGAGGAACCAUUGGAUAUAUAGCACCAGAAGUGUUCAGUAGAAACUUUGGACAAGUUUCACACAAGUCCGAUGUCUAUAGUUAUGGAAUGAUGGCUCUAGAAAUUGUUGGAGGACGAAAGAAUCAUGAAGCUGAAAUGAGUUCCAGUAGCGAAAAAUAUUUUCCAGACUGGAUUUAUAGGCAUCUUGAGCUAGAUGAUGAGUUUGAAUUGAAUGGCGUGACAAAUGCAGAACAAUCUGAUAUUAUGAGGCAAAUAGCAAUAGUUGGCUUGUGGUGCAUCCUCACAAAUCCAUCUGAUAGACCAUCCAUGAGAAAAGUGAUAGAAAUGUUGGAAGGACCUCUUGGAGCAUUGAAGAUUCCACCGAAGCCUCGCCUGUAUUCUCCUCCAAGAUUACUUUCAUAUUCAUCUACUACAUCAUUAGCAUGAACUUGUAUCACAAUAUCGUAUGAAGAUAAUGGAAUGUUUCACAUCAAUCAACUGAGUGGCUCAUGUGAUUUUCUGAUGUAUUCACGAGAAUAAAACUAGAUUCAGCUUCAUUUAUACGGCAACUGCAUUGCCCAUCUCCUAGCUACAGGUUUGAACAUGGAACUAGUUACUGGGUCAAGAAUUGUACUCAUGCUUUAAACAUACUGAUGUGAAAUGGCUUUUCCUGAAAUUUCUUAUAUGCGGAACAGAUUGGCAACUUACAUUUAACAAUUUCUUCUGUGAAAUUCAGUAUUAAUUAAGAACAAUCCUUUCCAGUUGCCUUUUUAUAGUACAUCUGCAGCCAAUAGGAACAGCACUCCAGCCAAAAGUAUCAUCAAUCUUUUUUUCUCCCUCGGAAUUUACAAAUGCAGUUGCUAACAUCAAGAUAGUUGCUCUGGUCCUACUAACAUGCAACAAACUGGCAAAUGCCCUGUUGAAGCUCUCGUAAAAUUCAAACUCAUGAUUACGGUCAAAAUAUGGUCUCACACACACGGUAACAUCUAUAUUUGCAAAUACAAACAAUUUAUGUACAUCUGGCUAAAAUACAAAUGCUAAUCAACGGCAAAUAAAUAGAGAGUGGCAGCACUAUCACAUUAUUCAGUGCACAUAGGUCCCCUGCCUCUCUUCUCUAUGUAAUUGAGAAUUUAGUGAAACAAUUAAACACUGGCAUGAGGUGUCGAGGACGUGCUAAUCCAUGUAACAGUGACAGUAUCAGGUGAAGGCGGUAUCGGACCACUCUUUAACAACACAACAUCAUCUGAAGGACUAUUUAUAUUCUCUGCCUUUUCCGCAUUGUAGUCUCUGCUUUGUAUUUCUUUUAGAAUCUCUAACACUUUUUCCAUAGAUGGUCUCAACUCCUUUGCAUUCUGCAGACAUUGAAAAGCCAACUCAGCCACAGCCCUAAUCAUUUUUCUCGCUGCGUAAUCUGAUUCAUACCCCAGACUAGGGUCAACAAGUUCAUUCAAUGAAUUGCUUUGGAUUUUAUUGAUUGCCAUGGUAGACAAAUUAAUUUCAUGCCGGUGUCUAGAGAUAUCAACAGCAGGCAUUGAUGAUAUAAGCUCAAUCAAGACUACCCCAAAGCUAUAGACAUCACUCUUAUCGGUCAGUUGGUAGCAUUGAUGAUAUUCUGGAUCAAGAUAACCAGGAGUCCCUUGUGGAGCAGUUGAAACAUGGGUGACAUCUGUUGGAAAGAGUCGAGAUAGGCCAAAAUCUGCAACUUUAACACAGAAAUUGUUGUCAAGGAGAAUAUUGCUGGUUUUCACGUCACGGUGCACAAUAACAGAAGCAUGAAGAUAUGCCAGUGCACAUGCAAUCUCCACAGCAAUGUUCAUUCGAGGAGACCAAGGGAGUGCACCAGGCUUUGCUCUUUCACCAUGAAGAUGAUCAGCAAGUGUACCAUUGGGAAUGUACUGAUAUACUAGUAGGAGUUCACGGCUGUCCCG
rnacentral:lncRNA from 1 species